rnacentral:tRNA from 1 species
CAUUAUGAAGCUAAACAA